rnacentral:lncRNA from 1 species
CUCCAGAACUUUCUCUGUUUCCGUGGCUCUAUUUAUAGACUGUGCCGAUCCUCCUUCAUUGUAGAUAUGGGUGCGGACGCGGCUCGGAUGUUAGCCAAGAGUCUUAAAGCCCACAAGAGGGAAGGCGCUGCAACUUUCGGGUCAGUGAAGAAGGCGAGGGUAGAAGAGACAGAUCCGACCGUAUUUUGCCUUGAUCGCCCAGAGCCCGCUUGUGGCACAUCUUCGACCGCGAGUGCUUCCCGAUCCUACGGAAGGGGGAAGCCGAAGGGGGACUGGAAGAAGA